CAGGGGAUUGCAGUGGCAAAGCUAGGCUAGGUCUUGGAGGCUGGUGUAAGGCGAUGCGGGUGAAGGCAGGAGGCUGAUGGAAAGACUGGGGGGAAGAAAAGCCGAAAUGGAUUCACGGUGCCUUGGAUGAAGGACGAGAGGGGAACUGCAAGCUCCUUCAACUGGUUCUGUCCGGUGAGAAGUGAUCAAGCUUGGGCUGACAAGAGGCUCAGGGAGCCCUCACGUUCUUUCGCUUUUUUACCUGCCAAUCAAACUGCUACAAGACAACACCCUGAUCUGGCAUGGACAUUCAUUGCAGUCACCUGGAGUCGCGGAAAUGACCAUGAUUGCCUGAACUUUCAUAACUUCUGUGGUUGCAGAAAAGAGAAAACCUGGACUGUGAGGGACAUUUUACUCCCUGACCUUUGGUACAUGGCCUCCCUACAGCGUUGGCUCAGCUCUAGCUACUUGGAAGGUCGUGGCAAUGCUGUCUCAGAAUGUCCAUUUCUAGAGUACAGGGAAGAAAUUCUAGCUUGACGUCCACGUGCAUUUGUCUGUGUUUCAGAGGAAAUUCCAGUUCUAAACUCUUGGAAGAAACAAUUUCUCGGCAUGCUGAAGAGACUUGCUGUUUUUUGGCACCUGAAACAUUUUUACCUGAGGGUUCUGAUUAUUUAAAUAAUUGGUAUGCUAUAACUAUUCUGGCUGACAGAAAUGUGGUUUAAUGUAGAUGAGUUGUAAAAACAUGUGACAAACAUGC
rnacentral:sRNA from 1 species